rnacentral:rRNA from 1 species
AUUGAACGCUGGCGGCAUGCCUUACACAUGCAAGUCGAACGGCAGCGGACCUUCGGGUGCCGGCGAGUGGCGAACGGGUGAGUAAUGCAUCGGAACGUACCUUUCAGUGGGGGAUAACGUAGCGAAAGUUACGCUAAUACCGCAUAUUCUGUGAGCAGGAAAGCAGGGGAUCGCAAGACCUUGCGCUGAUGGAGCGGCCGAUGUCAGAUUAGCUAGUUGGUGGGGUAAAGGCUCACCAAGGCGACGAUCUGUAGCGGGUCUGAGAGGAUGAUCCGCCACACUGGAACGGAGACACGGUCCAGACUCCUACGGGAGGCAGCAGUGGGGAAUUUUGGACAAUGGGGGCAACCCUGAUCCAGCCAUGCCGCGUGAGUGAAGAAGGCCUUCGGGUUGUAAAGCUCUUUCGGCCGGGAAGAAAUCGCACGGGCUAAUACCCUGUGUGGAUGACGGUACCGGAAUAAGAAGCACCGGCUAACUACGUGCCAGCCGCCGCCGUAA